rnacentral:rRNA from 1 species
AUACGGAGGGUGCAAGCGUUAAUCGGAAUUACUGGGCGUAAAGCGUACGUAGGCGGUCCGUUAAGUUAGAUGUGAAAGCCCCGGGCUUAACCUGGGAACUGCAUUUAAAACUGGCGAACUAGAGUUGAGUAGAGGGGAGUGGAAUUUCAGGUGUAGCGGUGAAAUGCGUAGAGAUCUGAAGGAACACCAGCGGCGAAGGCGACUCCCUGGACUCGAACUGACGCUGAGGUACGAAAGCGUGGGUAGCAAACGGGAUUAGAUACCCUAGUAGUCCC